rnacentral:tRNA from 1 species
GCCGGGAUGGUGGAAUAGGUAGACACGCAAGACUUAAAAUCUUGUGGGGGUAACCCCGUGCGGGUUCGAUUCCCGCUCCUGGUAC